rnacentral:lncRNA from 1 species
AUGACUUCUUGUUUAUGGCCUGGGCCUCUUCAAGCGUUGGAGAUAGGCCCAGGCCAACAUCACUUCUUCAUUAGGCCCAGGCCUCUUCAAGGGUCAGGGAUAGGCCCAGGCCCACAUCACUUCUUGCUUUUGGCCUGGGCCUCUUCAAGGGUUGGGAUAGGCCCAGGCCCACAUCACUUCUUAUUAGGCCCAGGCUUCUUCAAGGUUGGGAAUAUGCGCAGGCCCACGUCGCUUCUGGCCUUUGGCCCAGGCCCAUAUCACUUCUUCAUUAGGCCUGGGCCUCUUCAAGGGUCAGGGAUAGGCCCAGGCCCACAUCACUUCUUGCUUUUGGCCCGGGCCUCUUCAAGGGUUGGGGAUAGGCCCAGGCACACAUCACUUCUUCAUUAGGCCCAGGCCUCUUCAAGGGUUGGGGAUAGGACCAGGCCCACAUCACUUCUUCAUUAGACCAAGGCCUCUUCAAGGGUUGGGAAUAGGCCCAGGUCCACAUAACUUCUUGCUUUUGGCCUGGGCCUCUUCAAGGGUUGGGGAUAGGCCAAGGCACACAUCACUUCUUCAUUAGGCCUAGGCCUCUUCAAUGGUUCAGGAUUGGCCCAGGCCCAAAAUACUUCAUUAGGCCCAGGCCUCUUCAAGGGACAGGGAAAGGCCCAGGCCCACAUCAAUUCUUGUUUGUGGCCUGGGCCUCUUCAAAGGUUGGGGAUAGGCCCAGGCCCACAUCACUUCUUCAUUAGGCCCAGGCCUCUUCAAGGGUAAGGGAUACGCCCAGGCCCACGUCACUUCUUCAUUAGGCCCAGGCCUCUUCAAGGGUCAGGGAUAGGCCCAGGCCCAUAUCGCUUCUUGCAUUAGGCCCGGGCCUCUUCCAGGGUCAGGGAUAGGCCUAGGCCCACAUCUAUACUUCUUUUGCACCUGACCUCCUUCAAGUUCAGUUUGCCCAAGCACAUACUUUUUUUCUGGUUUGUUUGACCAGCCCUGUUUCUUUUCAUUCCUACUUAUCUAGGUCCAGAAAUCUUCAGGAUCAGGGUAUCUGAUUCUAUUUAGGAUUUAAAUAGAGUAUACUUUUGAGUUCAUAGUUUUCCAAAGCUACUUUGUUGUUAGCCUUGAUUUAUGAUCAAUAUUCCUGGGGAUGAAAGACAGAUAUUGAUAGACAUAUUUAGUAUCCUUCUCUGGCAUCUCAAAUGUACUCAGAUCAUCAUUGACCUAUCCUCUAGGAAACAUGCUCAGACAUUGACACAUAUAGCUUACAGUCCAGGUAGAACAAAUUAUACAUUAUACAAAUAGAAAUAUUAAUAAAAGGCUGGCUGGGCAAGCCCA